GAUGAAGAACGCAGCGAAAUGCGAUAACUAAUGUGAAUUGCAGAAUUCAGUGAAUCAUCGAGUCUUUGAACGCACAUUGCGCCCCCUGGUAUUCCGGGGGCAUGCCUGUCCGAGCGUCAUUGCUGCCCUCAAGCACGGCUUGUGUGUUGGGCUCCGUCCCCCCGGGGACGGGCCCGAAAGGCAGCGGCGGCACCGAGUCCGGUCCUCGAGCGUAUGGGGCUUUGUCACCCGCUCUGUAGGCCCGGCCGGCGCCAGCCGACAACCCAUCAUCCUUUUCAGGUUGACCUCGGAUCAGGUAGGGAUACCCGCUGAACUUAAGCAUAUCAAUAAGCGGAGGA
rnacentral:misc_RNA from 1 species